CCUACGGGUGGCAGCAGUGGGGAAUAUUGGGCAAUGGGCGCAAGCCUGACCCAGCAACGCCGCGUGAAGGAAGAAGGCUUUCGGGUUGUAAACUUCUUUUAAGGGGGAAGAGCAGAAGACGGUACCCCUUGAAUAAGCCACGGCUAACUACGUGCCAGCAGCCGCGGUAAUACGUAGGUGGCAAGCGUUGUCUGGAUUUACUGGGUGUAAAGGGCGUGCAGCCGGAGAGACAAGUCAGAUGUGAAAUCCAAGGGCUCAACCCGUGAACUGCAUUUGAUACUGUUUCUCUAGAGUGUCGGAGAGGUAAUCGGAAUGCCUUGUGUAGCGGUGAAAUGCGUAGAUAUAAGGAAGAACACCAGUGGCGAAGGCGGAUUACUGGACGAUAACUGACGGUGAGGCGCGAAAGCGUGGGGAGCAAACAGGAUUAGAUACCCCUGUAGUC
rnacentral:rRNA from 1 species